CCCUUCAUGGGUUAAUUCUCUAGCACGGUCAAGGUGCAGAUUAUUGGUUCCCAAGUUUAUUUAGUUACAAUGUUUUGAAGUGGGCGUGAUAAAGUAGUUAUCUCUGUGUUCUUCCUUUCCUCUGUCUCUUUCCAUGGAUGUAUGAGACAGAGGAGCUGAGCGACUGGCUAGUUUCUGUUUGAGUGAUUUUAUUUUCUUCUUUUACAUGUAUCAGAGAGCAAUAGAACGUGCGAAUACCAGGUCGGU